ACAAUUGGAAUAUAUACUUCAAUCCACACUUUACUAUUUCUAUGCAGCCUGCUUAUGUUUCCAGAAACAUCCAAUUGGUAAGUUGCCAAGUCAAGAUAUGUCAUUAUUAACUUCCGACUUUAACAAGCCUUUUGAUUUAAAUUAAACGACAUUAUGGUAAGGUGUUUGUGAUUAGGAGCUAUCUCCACUAGAGUUUUUAAGCAAGCAAGACCUCGAUUUAGUGGUAUGAAUACUUCGAGAGUUUCAUGUUCAUCCAAUUGCCAAGAGAACUACAAUAAAUUGUUGAAUGCUCACAACUAAAGUCAAACACACUACAAAGAAAUAGUGAAUAAUCACAAUCAAAUGAUGGCUACUUGCAAGUCAUAUAUGAUAAUGAAAUAAGGGACAUUACCAGUACAAUUUGUGGGGUUAUUAUAUUCUCCUACUAUAAUGGUAAAUAUAACAUUUACAUUCUCUCUUCCUAAAUGAUCUUGAUUGUAUAUCAGAUGUACUAGUUUAGUUGCAGCCAUUUUUUUGCACCCAUAAUCUGUCAAUGUCUUAUUCAUUAAAACAAGUGAACAAUACUUAAAAUUCAAUAUGCCUCAAUGCCAUAAUUUGUGGUUGCACAUAGAUUUCCAAAUUUCCCAACAAAUGAUAGAUUUCAAAGACUGAAUAAGUGUUGCAUGAACUUUGUUUUUGGUAGUGC
rnacentral:lncRNA from 1 species